rnacentral:rRNA from 1 species
AUUGAACGCUGGCGGCAGGCCUAACACAUGCAAGUCGAGCGAGCGGCGGACGGGUGAGUAAUGUCUGUGAAACUGCCUGCUGGAGGGGGAUAACUACUGGAAACGGUAGCUAAUACCGCACACCCUAAGAUGUGCCCAGAUAGGAUUAGCUAGUAGGUGGGGUAAUGGCUCACCUAGGCGCCGAUCCCUAGCUGGUCUGAGAGGAUGACCAGCCACACUGGAACCGAGACACGGUCCAGACUCCUACGGGAGGCAGCAGUGGGGAAUAUUGCACAAUGGGAGCAAGCCUGAGGCAGCCAUGCCGCGUGUGUGAAGUAGGCCUUCGGGUUGUACAGUACUUUCAGCGGGGAGGCGUUACCCGCAGAAGAAGCACCGGCUAACUCCGUGCCAGCAGCCGCGGUAAUUC